ACUGUUUAUUAAAAACACAGCACUCUGCAAACACGAAAGUGGACGUAUAGGGUGUGACGCCUGCCCGGUGCUGGAAGGUUAAUUGAAGAUGUGAGAGCAUCGGAUCGAAGCCCCAGUAAACGGCGGCCGUAACUAUAACGGUCCUAAGGUAGCGAAAUUCCUUGUCGGGUAAGUUCCGACCUGCACGAAUGGCAUAAUGAUGGCCAGGCUGUCUCCACCCGAGACUCAGUGAAAUUGAAAUCGCCGUGAAGAUGCGGUGUACCCGCGGCUAGACGGAAAGACCCCGUGAACCUUUACUAUAGCUUGACACUGAACAUUGAAUUUUGAUGUGUAGGAUAGGUGGGAGACUUAGAAGUAGUCACGCCAGUGAUUAUGGAGUCGUCCUUGAAAUACCACCCUUUAACGUUUGAUGUUCUAACGAAGAUUACGAAACGUGGUCUCGGACAGUGUCUGGUGGGUAGUUUGACUGGGGCGGUCUCCUCCCAAAGAGUAACGGAGGAGCACGAAGGUUUGCUAAUGACGGUCGGACAUCGUCAGGUUAGUGCAAUGGUAUAAGCAAGCUUAACUGCGAGACAGACAAGUCGAGCAGGUACGAAAGUAGGUCAUAGUGAUCCGGUGGUUCUGAAUGGAAGGGCCAUCGCUCAACGGAUAAAAGGUACUCCGGGGAUAACAGGCUGAUACCGCCCAAGAGUUCAUAUCGACGGCGGUGUUUGGCACCUCGAUGUCGGCUCAUCACAUCCUGGGGCUGAAGUAGGUCCCAAGGGUAUGGCUGUUCGCCAUUUAAAGUGGUACGCGAGCUGGGUUUAGAACGUCGUGAGACAGUUCGGUCCCUAUCUGCCGUGGGCGUUGGAGAAUUGAAAGGGGCUGCUCCUAGUACGAGAGGACCGGAGUGGACGCACCACUGGUGUUCCGGUUGUGUCGCCAGACGCAUUGCCGGGUAGCUAAGUGCGGAAGAGAUAAGUGCUGAAAGCAUCUAAGCACGAAACUUGCCAAGAGAUGAGUUCUCCCA
rnacentral:rRNA from 1 species